rnacentral:rRNA from 1 species
AUGUCCUUACCGCCAUCCGGCCACCGUACCAUCCUACUUCUCAUCCUCAUCGAGCUCCUAUCGCCGCUCCUGUGCACGGGGGAGUCGGCGACGUGCCUUGCUGUGUACCGCGAGGGCGGCGCGCCCGCGGUGUACCAGUCCGCGCACUGCCCCCGCUGGACCAUCCUCUCCGCCGGCGAGGGGGAUGGGGACAAGGGCCCCUCCUCCCCGCAGCCGAGGAGGUGCCAUGUGGCGGCUCACCGCGGCCGCCGCCGCUCCCAGGAGGACCGCGCCGUCUGCGCUCUCGGCAUCCGCAUCCCCUUCAUAGAGCAAAUGAGGAUUAAAGAGGUGGAUGUCGGAGUGAUGGCAAUAUUUGAUGGUCAUAAUGGAGAUGAGGCCAGUGAGAUGGCUUCUAAGCUCUUACUGGAGUACUUGUUGCUUCAUGUUUAUUUUCUUCUUGACGGUAUAUACUCCAUCAUGUUCAGAAACUCAACUGGAAAGCUGACACAUAAGGAAGUUACUAUUCUUAACAGUGUUCUUAACCUGUACAAAGAGGAUCAGUCCAACCACGGGCAGAGGUCAUGUUGGAUAUCACCCACAAUUCUAGAUCGAUCUUUUCACAUGGAAAUUCUGAAGGAAUCAUUAUUGAGGGCAGUUCAGGAUAUUGACCUAACAUUCUCCAAGGAAGCUUUACGAAAAAAAUUCAAGUCCGGUUCAACAGCUACUGUGGUCUUGAUAGCCGAUGGCCAAAUCAUAACGGCUAAUGUGGGAGAUUCAAAAGCAUUUUUGUGCUCACAAAGUCAUGCCUCAUACCGUCAAAAGAGGAAACGGAGAAGAAAGAGAAACUCUAGCAAUCACGAGGACUUUGCUUUGGCAAAUUAUGGUGGACCACUUUACAAUGUAAAGGAGUUAACCAGGGACCAUCAUCCGGAUAGAGAGGAUGAGAGAAGGCGUGUAGAAGCUGCUGGUGGUUAUGUUCUUGAGUGGGCUGGUGUAUACCGUGUUAAUGGUGAGCUUGCACUAUCUCGAGCUAUUGGCGAUGUGCCUUUUAAACGGUAUGGUGUAAUAUCGACACCUGAACUGACAGGGUGGCAGCUUCUGUCAGCAAACGAUAGCUUUCUUAUUGCCUCCUCUGACGGUGUCUUUGAGAAAAUGAGCAUGCAAGAUGUUUGCGACAUGAUGCUGUAUGCGAAAUAUGGUGUUAACCAGGAUUUUGAACCCCUUGCUGUCGUGCAACAGAAUUUGGCGGAUUUUAUAGUUCAUCUUGCUUUACAGAAAGGCACAACAGACAAUGUAGCAGCUGUGAUUGUUCCAUUGGGAUCUCCUAGUAGCUCUGGAGCUAGAAUAGAAGAUUGGCACCAUCUUGAAGAAAAUUCAGUGACAUCUGUUUUGCCUUUACAGACCAUUCCGUACCAACACAAGUCAGACGAUGGAGUUAGCUCAGCUGUUAUUGAAAUGGAGUAUUUCAAGCGCUCGUCGACAAAGUUCCAGAGAUUCUUGGUCGAUGCAAAACUUAAGAGACUGGGUUGUUUCUACUUAUCUGAGAGUCUUGAUGAAGACAUGGACUUUAUAUUUAGGGUACCCAAGGACUAUCAGCAUGAAGGAGUCCAUGACUUCAAUCACAUGCCAACUGAAAAUGUGUUAUCUUCUGAUGGAAAUCUUGAAAAAUACAAGGACAGAAACUUUUGCUGGCACCUUGUCCAUCAAGAUGAUGAAAUGGGACGAUGUACUAGUCCUGAAGGGUUUGCAAAUUAUUUUGGCUUGCUUGAUUCUGUUUCACAUAAUGGAAGCAGAUCAAGCAGUUCACAUGCAUUUGGCUAUAAGAUAGCUGACAUCAGGUACAAGCUGAAGAGAAGAUUUGAUCGCGGUUCAUAUGGUGAAGUCUGGUUGGCAUUUCGUUGGAAUUGCUCUGAUGAUGUAGAUGUACAUAAAGAUCCUUCCCACUUUAACACUAUACUUACACCAGACUCGUAUAAUUGCACAAGUUCAAACACAACAUCGUCAUCUGAUGAAAAUCAUGGCUCAGACAUGAUAGAUGGUGAUUUAUUCAUAUUGAAGCGCAUAAUGGUGGAAAGAGGAAAUGCUGCUUACUUGAGCGGACUGCGGGAGAAGCAUUUUGGAGAAUUAUUUUCAAAUGCUUCAAAAACCCUUGAAAUUUUGUCAAGGAUGGAAUCAUCAUCUGCAACGUUUCCGAUGGACAUGCAAUUCAUUGAGUAUAGCUUUCCAGAACAGAACAUCUCAGCUGUUGAAGAAUCACUGAGGCAUGUGGCUAGGUUUAUAGAAUCUUUUGAAUCAGAAUCAAGGGAAAUAUGGCUUGUGUACCGCAAUGAAGGCCGCUCAUUGUCAAAAUUGUUAUAUGCUGCUGAAGACACAAAGUUAGUUACCGGUGAUGAUAAUGAGAGGGUCAGAUAUAUUCAAGUUCUGCAACCAUCAAAGUGGUGGUAUUGGUUAAGGACUACUAAAGCUGGGCAAAGGCAAAUGCAAAACCUCUUAUGGCAACUGCUGAUGGGUCUGAAGGCAUGUCAUGAUCGUAACAUCACUCACAGGGAUAUUAAACCUGAGAACAUGAUCAUCUGCUUUGAGGAUUUGAAGACGGGAAAAUGUUUAAGAGAGAUUCCAUCUGAAGCAACGGAAAACAAGCUGAACUUGCGUCUUAUUGACUUCGGCAGUGCCAUUGAUGAUUUCACUUUGAAGCAUCUUUAUGGUUCAGGGCCUACUCGGUCUGAGCAGACUUUUGAAUACACUCCUCCAGAGGCACUCCUUAAUUCAAGCUGGUUUCAGGGAUCAAAAAGUGCAAGACUGAAGUAUGAUAUCUGGAGUGUUGGAGUUGUCAUGCUGGAGUUGAUAGUUGGUUCUCCACAUGUUUUCCAGAUAAGUGACCGUGCACGUAUUUUAAUGGAUCAACGCCUUGAAGGGUGGAGUGAGGAAACAAAAGAGCUUGCAUACAAGUUGAGGUCUUACAUGGAACUGUGCAUUUUAGUACCGGGGAUUUCCACGCAACAACAAGGCAGCAUUAAUUCCGAACGGGGCCACGGCGGGUUAGCUUCUUGGAAAUGCUCUGAAGAAUCAUUUGCCCGUCAAGUGAAAAUCCUAGACCCUCUUAAAAUGGGCUUUCCUAAUUUGUGGGCAUUGCGACUAGCGCGCCAGCUACUAGUGUGGCAUCAUGAGGACCGUCUAAGCAUUGAUGAAGCAUUGAACCAUCCGUACUUCCAAGAGCCACCAUAA